UUAACCUCCAGUUCUCGUAUGAUCACCGAAGUUAAGGAAUGUCCAGCCUGGUUAGUACCUAGAUGGGUGACCGCUUGGAAAUACCAGGUGCUGUAAG